rnacentral:lncRNA from 1 species
CUGUCAUUAAGAUCUUUGCUAGUUCUGGAGGCAGGAAAGUCCAAGGUUGAGGGGUUCACAUCUGGUGAGGGCCUUCUUGCUGUGUCAUCCCAUGGCAGAAGGUGGAAAGGUAAGAGGGCAUGUGUGUAUAUGUGUGACGGGGUGGAAAAGAGCGAGAAGGAGAAAAAGAGAGAGAGAAGUAAGAAGAUCAAAAUCACCCUUUUAUCAGGAACCCUGUUUUAUCUGGGAAACAUAACAGCAUUAAUCCGUUCAUGAAGGCAGAGGCCUCAUGACCAAACCACCUCUUAAAGGUCCUACCUUUCAACAUGGUUGCACUGUGAAUUAAGUUUCCAAGAAUAUUUGGCUCUUAAGUACAUUUUUGUUGUUGUUUCCAUUUAGAAUUUCUUUUCUAGAGCUUGCUUUAAUUUUAUUCAUUCAAAACUUUGCACUUGCUUUCUUUUCCUAUAUUUAUUUCCUUUUUAGGUUAUGAAGCUUUUUGAGGUGGAACCAAGCACAAUUCUUGGAUCUAAAUAAGCAUUUGAUUUAAGUUAUCUUUGAGCUUUUAAUAACUUAAUGAACAUUCUAUGCUAUUCUAUGGGAAAUGCUUGAGUUUUUCAUUUGCUUAUAUUUUCUUUAUCAAUUUUGUGUCUUUUGGGUAAGUAAAGGACAUAAAGUAUGGAAUACCUUAAUAAGACAGUGAAUUAAAUCUAUUCCCCUGAUUUAACUACGAAAAAAGUCAAUAAUAAGAAAACAAUCUCCCCUUCCCCAAAUAGGACAACUAUUUGAACAACUAUUCAACCAAAGACAAUAUAUGGAUUGGAGACAAGAGGAUGCUCAACAUCAUUCAUUAGGGAAAUACAAACUAAAACCACAAUGAAAUAUUACUGGUUACCUAUUAGAAUGAUUAAAAUUAAAAAUACUGACCAUAUCGGCCAGGCAUGGUGGCUCACGCCUGUAAUCCCAGCACUCUGGGAGGCUGAGGCAGGCAGAUCACCAGGUCAGGAGAUCGAGACUAUCCUGGCUAACACGGUGAAACCCCGUCUCUACUAAAAAUACAAAAAAAGUAGCCAGGCAUGGUGGCGGACGCCUGUAGUCCCAGCUACUCGGGAGGCUGAGACAGGAGAAUGGUGAGAACCCAGGAGGUGGAACUUGCAGUGAGCCGAGAUCAUGCCACUGCACUCCAGCGUGGGUGACAGAGCGAGACUCCAUCUCAAAAAAAAAAAAAAAAAUACUGACCAUAUCAAGUAUUGGCAAGGAUAUGGAGCAACUAGAACUUUCAUACAUUGCCAGUGUAAAAUGGCACAGCCAUUUUGGAAAACAGUUUGGCAGUUUCUUACAAACUUAAACAUAUACCUACCAUGUGAUUGAGUCAUCCCAUGCCUAGAUAUUUACCUAAGAGAAAUGAAAGCACAUAUCCAUACAAAGAGUUUAUAUGAAUGCUCAUAGACACUUUAUUUAUAAUAGUAAAAAACUGGAAACAACCCAAAUGUCCAUCGAUGGAUGAAUGAAUAAAUAUCUAUGAGAUGGAAUACUACUUAGCAAUGAAAAAGAAUGAAGUAUUGACACAUGCAGCAACAUGGAUGAAUCUCAAAAUGAUUAAGAUGGAUUCUUGCUCUGUCGCCCAGGCUAGAGUGCAGUGGCGCUAUCUUGGCCCACUGCAACCUCCAUCUUUGGGGGUAAAGCGAUUCUCCUGCCUCAGCCUCCCAAGUAGCUGGGACUACAGGCGCACACUGCCGUGCCUGGCUAAUUUUUUGUGUUUUAGUAGAGAUGGGGUUUCACCAUGUUGCCCAGGCUAGUGUUGAACUCCUGAGCUCAGACAAUCCGCUUGCCUCGGCCUCCCAAAGUGCUAGGAUUACAGGCAUGAGCCACCGCACCCGGCCCCGGAAUCUGCAUUUCAACAAGCUCUUCUGAUGGUUCCUCUGCAUCUGGGAGUCGAGAAGUUCUUGCUCUAUGGCCUCUGAAGUUGCUUCGAACCCAAUUCAGAAUCUCAACCCACUCCUCUGCCUUUUCUAGUCAUAGUUACUUUUCCUUAAGUGCCACACUGGCAUAAAGGCGUUCGAUGUUCCACUAUCUUUCCUGCAGGUGUUCAGCACAUGAUCGGUGGUUUCUAGGGUCUGCCAUGGGUCUUACUAAUUAUUUGGAACCAAAUAUAACAGAAAACAAGUUUGGAAUUCUAAAAAAUCCCUUAAAAACCUUUUUAAAAAAUCUUGGACACAGCAGCUGUGAAUGGUCUGGGCCUGCCUGUGCAGUUAUUGCUGAAAUUACUGGGGCUGUUGAGUAUUUGGAAAUCAAAUCCCAGAAGUGAAUUGGCUGUGCCAAUCAGUUGUAAAAGGAUCUGGCCCUGGGAGGUUUGAUGGGUAGGGGCAAAUGGGGACAUGGGAAGAGGGUGGGAGGCUUCAGGACUGCAUGAACUGAGUAGAAAGAUUUGGCCUUUGGGGACAGAGCAUGCAACGGGCAGCUGUUCCCGGUGACCUGGGCAUCUGGGACUUACUGAGGGAGAGACGUGAUCUUGGCCUAGCUGACCACCAUCGAAACCACUCAUCGGAGGCGUGGAUGCAGUUUGCUGGGAAGAUGAGCACCGAUCUGUCUGGUGGUCACAUGGAGGGCUUUGCAGAUCUCUGACACUGGAUAUUUCCCCUUGCCCUGGUGCCAAGGACUAGGGGAGAGAUCACUCUGGGCUUGAGUCAGGGACAGGGAUGCCAGGCACAGCGAAAGAAGAUGACUGUGGUACAAACCCAGCUGAUGAAGUGGAAAAUAAAUAAAAGAGAAGGAAUCAAGCUGGUUCAUGUAGGAAGCAUGCACACACUCAUCCCAUCCAUUGUUCCACAUCGGGCACCUCCCUGAGCUAGCUGCCACUCCUGCUGCACUCUGCCACUCCUUGGAAGGCAGCACAGGGCAGUGGUUAGAGCCUUCUCUUUCAGUGUCAGACAGGCCUGGGUUCAUGUCCAGGUCUGCCACUUUACUUACUAGCUGUGGGAUGCUGAUGAGCCCAAGCUCUCUCCUAGCCUGCUUCUUGAUCAGUAAAAUGACAAUGACUAGAGUACCUAGUAUAUGGAGUUACUGCAGGACUUGAAUGUGCCAAUACAUCUAACAUGCUUAGCAUAGGGCCUGAUCAUGGUUGGCAUUUGAUAAGUGCUAGUUGUUAUCAUUAUUAAUAUUACUAAUCAUCAAAGAAAGAUCUUCAGUUGGAUAUUUGGGCAAAAUUAUGAAAUUUAUCCCUAAUCUUUUGAUUUACAGAUUGGUGUGGAUCUGUUAUUAAGUGUUUUCUUUUUUUUUUUUUAAGUUAUCUUGUUU